AUGGUGUGGAAGAGCUGGGGACGGCGGCUGCUGCUCAGCGCCGUGGUGCUCCUGUUCUCGGGCGCGGCGGGCGGUGCUGCUGCCGGCGACGUCUCCCUCAGCCUGACCAGCGCCCCGCCGCGGGUCUCGACGUCGGCGUCGGCGGUGUUCGCCUUCCGAGCCGUGCAGAGCAGCGGCUGGACCUGCUGGGACUGCGCCAUCACCUGCAAGUUGGACGGUGAACGAAGAUCGGACUGCUGGGGCAACGGAAAUGGGACGGAGGUGGUGACCUUUGCCGGACUCAAGGACGGCAACCACACAUUCGCGGCGUGCGCGACGCCGAGAUCAGGAUCAGGAAGCAGCGCCGGCCCGACCUGCGCCACCUACGCCUGGGAUGUUGACACCGUUCCUCCGACGGCGACGGUGGCGGCGGAGUCGGCCUUCACGGCCGCGCCCAACGUCUCGGUGCUCGUCUCCCUCAGCGAGCCGUGCCCGGGCGGCGGCGGCUUCACGUGCAACGCCACCUACUGCGACCUCAUCGUGUACGGGCCCGGCCGCGUGGAGCCGUCCACCCUGGAGGCCGUCGAGCCCGGCCUGCGGUACUCCGUCGCCGUGUCGCCGUCGCCGGACGUGGACUACGGGCGCAUGAUCCUGGUGAUGCGCCGGGGGUUCUGCACCGACGUGGCCGGCCACCGCUUCCGGAGGAGCUCCAACUCGAGCUUCACCCUCCGCUUCGACAAAAGGAGCGAUUCCAUGAACAUCACCGCCAGCAUCCCGCAGAAGCUCCUGCAGAUCCAAGGCGCGAUGAGGGUGGUCGAGGCCACCAACGACGACAGGGAGCUGAGGAUAUACAUGUCCUUCGCCGAGCCGGUGAUGAACACGUCCGCGGAGAUACUCGCCGCUCUCACCGCGACCGGGGCCGUGCUGACGCCGACCAACAGGAGCACGCUCGGCAACCGUCGGUUCGGUUUCGUCGUGAACAAGAUAUCGAGCACAGCUGUUGUGACUGUUGCAUGUGAUACGAGUUCUGUAAUCAGCAGACAGGGGACCCCGGUUUAUUCAUCACAACCAUUCACAUUUCUAUACGAUACGCGACGGCCUUCUGUUAAACUGGCCACGUCGACCGUCAGGACAAGCUCACACACCAUCCCCGUCUUGAUCAAGUUUGAAAAGCCUGUGUUUAACUUCACCUCCUCCGCAGUGCAGCUUUCCGGGGGCAAACUAUUGAGCUUCCAUGAAGCUAGUAAGAGCAUAUACACAAUGCAGAUCCUGGCAGUUGACAAGCUGGUUUCGGUCCAGGUUGCUGAGAACACAGCUCAGGACGUGGCUGGGAAUCCCAAUCUGCCAUCAGACCGCCUCCAAGUGAGACACUAUUCUGUCCCUGCAUCGUCUUCAUCAAUCGCAAUCAUCGCCACCGUAAUAUUUGCAGCAACCGCCAUCGUCGCCACACUGCUCACCGUCUCCACAUCAUCGCUCAUUGCAUCCGGCGCCAUGGCAAGGCCUUCGUCUUACUCCAUCUCCGAGCCAUCACGAAAUCUUCUGAGAAUGGCAUGCCAGAUCCAGAUCUUUGCUCUGUCGAGAUGGCUGUCGAUAAAUCUGCCGGUGGAGUACUACGAGCUGGCCAAGGGGAUAGAGUGGACAAUUCCGUACAUUCGGCUUCCGUGGGAGGGUCCCUCUGCAGAUCCAUUCGUGGGCUACUCCACCAUGCCGGCCAUUGCGUACUCGGAGCUGGUGGACAGGAGUGAUGUGGUACAGGCUGAUCCCUACUACCCUGGAGCUGCACCAGGUGGUCAGCAGCAGAUUAUGCCGAUGCAGAUACCGGUAGAAGGGAAGCCGCCAGCGAUCCCGCUGCAGACCCCGGCGUUGGAUGGGAAGCCGCUGACCGCCAUGGAGUACCGAUCUUUCUUUGAGAAUCAGGACAUGAAGCCCGAAGCACAGAUUAUCAUGAAGCUGCAAGAUUUGGACGGGUGGAAAUACUUCGGAAGAAACAUGUUGUGGCUGGGUGUCAUUGGGGGAGGCCUCAUGCUGCUGCAUCUUCUUCUCCUCCUCUACUUGAGAUUAAGGUACAGAGGAGGCACAGGAAAGUACGGAGCACUCGUCCUCCCUAGGUUUGAGAUCAUGCUUGCAAUCCUUGCGAUACCUUGUGUAUCCCAAGCGUCUGCAGCACUCAUCAGAGGUGGGACUACCGGAGGGCUCGCCGUCGGGAUCGUGCUCAUCGGCAUCUUGACGGCGUUCCUGGUGGCCCUGCUGCUGUUCCUGUCGCUGGGCAUCACGACGGGCAGGCUGCUGCAGUACAAGGAGGUGCACCAGGAGGGGCAGGAGCACCGGUGGUACCAGGAGAUCGUGAGGCGGACGCUCGGCCCCGGCAAGCGCGGGCAGUGGACGUGGAAGGACCCCGGCCGCGCCGCGCGGCUCGUCAAGCUCGGCCCGCUGUUCGAGGACCUGCGCGGCCCGCCCAAGUACAUGCUGACGCAGAUCGUGGUGGGCGGGGGCGGGAAGCGGGCGGCGGCGGACCAGCGGAUCAUGGCGUCGGAGGACGAGAACGAGGACGCGGAGGCGCCGGUGAUCCAGAAGGUGUUCGGCAUCCUGAGGAUCUACUACACGUUCCUCGAGUCGGUGAAGCGGGUGGCGCUGGGCAUCGUGGCGGGCGCGCACGCGUCGUCGGGCAGGUCGUCGCGGGCGCACGCCGUCGUGGUGCUGGCCGUCGCGUCGUUCCAGCUCUUCUUCAUGCUGCUCAAGAAGCCCUUCAUCAAGAAGCGGGUGCAGCUGGUGGAGAUCGUGGCGGUGGCCAGCCAGGUGUUCGUCUUCGCCGCCUGCCUCGUGCUCAUCGACAGGAACAGCGGCGAGCUGGAGGAGGUCGAGGAGAGCGGCGGCGUGGGGAUCGCCAUGCUCGGCGUCUUCUCGCUGGCGUUCGCGGCGCAGGUGUGCAACGAGUGGAACGCGCUGUACCGGCAGGUGCAGUUCCUGAGCCCCGACAGGAGCUCCUUCCUGGAGGGCACCAAGGCGGCCUCGGUCGGGCUGCUGCUGCUGGUGCUCCCGUCGUCGGUGCUGGGCGACCCGCUGGCGGGCCAGCAGCAGGAGCCGUCGCCGGAUAGCGGCGGCGGCAUGGGUCAGACGGUGCCGGGCGAGGCUCUGAGGAGUUCGAACGAGCGGUCGUGGCUUGGGCAGCUGCGCGAGAUGGCCAAGGCGAGCUUCAGCAGGGACGGGGAGGACCCGUCCAGCAGCACCGCGUACAAGGGGAAGAGGAGCCGGAGCUCGUCGGUGACGUCGCAGUCCGCGGACUCCAAGGCCAAGGGGGAGUGGAGGCCCAAGUCCAAGGCGCUGCACAAGGAUUUGGAGGCCAUCUUCUCCAACAGGUAG
rnacentral:rRNA from 1 species